CCUACGGGUGGCAGCAGUGAGGAAUAUUGGUCAAUGGGCGCGAGCCUGAACCAGCCAAGUAGCGUGAAGGAUGACUGCCCUAUGGGUUGUAAACUUCUUUUAUAAAGGAAUAAAGUGAGGCACGUGUGCCUGGUUGGAUGUACUUUAUGAAUAAGGCUCGGCCAACUCCGUGCCAGCAGCCGCGGUAAUACGGAGGAUCCGAGCGUUAUCCGGAUUUAUUGGGUUUAAAGGGAGCGUAGAUGGGUUGUUAAGUCAGUUGUGAAAGUUUGCGGCUCAACCGUAAAAUUGCAAUUGAUACUGGCAGUCUUGAGUACAGUAGAGGUAGGCGGAAUUCGUGGUGUAGCGGUGAAAUGCAUAGAUAUCACGAAGAACUCCGAUUGCGAAGGCAGCUUACUAGACUGCAACUGACGUUGAUGCUCGAAAGUGUGGGUAUCAAACAGGAUUAGAUACCCGUGUAGUC
rnacentral:rRNA from 1 species